rnacentral:sRNA from 1 species
GGUCUCGCUAUGUUGCCCAGGUGGUCUUGAACUCCUGGGCUCAAGCGAUCUACCGGCCUUGGCCUCCCAAAGUGCUGGGAUUACAGGCGUGAGCCACCAUGCCUGGCCCACUGAGGGUACAUACUGUUUAUGUAAUUAAGGGAAGUGUUAUCUUAGCUUUGACUUGAAAUAAUGUGUAGACAGAGGAGAUGCUGACUCCUGUGGGUGGGGAAUCAGCUCAGGAAAGGCCCUUGCCCAGGCCCAAGUCUGCAGUGAGGGGUGAGGGAAUGUGAGCUCAGGGGACUUCCUGGCCAAUCCCAGAAUUCUCUCUGGCCCUCAGGCCGUGGAUCCAGGACAUCGAGGGAGCCAGCGCCAAGGACCUUUGCAGCGCGUCUUCGGUUGUGUCCCCGUCUUUUGUACCAACAGGGGAGAAGCCAUGUGAGCAAGUCCAGUUCCAGCCCAACACAGUGAACACUUUGGCCUGCCCGCUCCUCUCCAACCUGGCGACCCGACUCUGGCUACGCAACGGGGCCCCCGUCAAUGCCUCGGCCUCCUGCCACGUGCUACCCACUGGGGACCUGCUGC